rnacentral:rRNA from 1 species
UACGAAGGGGGCGAGCGUUGUUCGGAUUUACUGGGCGUAAAGGGCGCGCAGGCGGCUCAUUUUGUCAGGCGUGAAAGCCCCGGGCUUAACCUGGGAACUGCGUUUGAUACGGGUGGGCUAGAGUUCGGGAGAGGAGGGUGGAAUUCCCAGUGUAGAGGUGAAAUUCGUAGGUAUUGGGAAGAACACCGAUGGCGAAGGCAGCCAUCUGGACCGACACUGACGCUGAGGCGCGAAAGCGUGGGGAGCAAACAGG